rnacentral:rRNA from 1 species
UCCAGCAGCCACCCCUGCAAGUCACAACUGGUAACCCACUGAAGCUAAGCAGGUGUGAGCCUGGUCAGUACCUGGAUGGGAGACCUCCUGGGAAAAACUGAGGUUGCUGCUGGAA